rnacentral:rRNA from 1 species
GACGAACGCUGGCGGCGUGCCUAAUACAUGCGAGUAGAACGCUGAAGCUUGGUGCUUGCACCGAGCGGAUGAGUUGCGAACGGGUGAGUAACGCGUAGGUCACCUGCCUGGUAGCGGGGGAUAACUAUUGGAAACGAUAUCUAAUACCACAUAAGAGUAGAUGUUGCAUGACAUUUGCGUAAAAGGUGCAAUUGCAGCACUACCAGAUGGACCUGCGUUGUAUUAGCUGGUUGGUGAGGGAACGGCUCACCAAGGCAACGAUACAUAGCCGACCUGGGAGGGUGGUCGGCCCCACUGGGACUGAGACACGGCCCAGACUCCUUCGGGAGGCAGCAGUAGGGGAUUUUCGGCCAUGGACGGAAGUCUGACCGAGCAACGCCGCGUGAGUGAAGAAGGGUUUCGGAUCGUAAAGCUCUGUUGUAAGAGAAGAACGAGCGUGAGAGUGGAAAGUUCACACUGUGACGGUAUCUUACCAGAAAGGGCCGGCUAACUACGUG